GAUGAACGCUGACAGAAUGCUUAACACAUGCAAGUCAACUUGAAUUUGGGUUUUUAACUUAGGUUUGGGUGGCGGACGGGUGAGUAACGCGUAAAGAACUUGCCUCACAGCUAGGGACAACAUUUGGAAACGAAUGCUAAUACCUAAUAUUAUGAUAAUAGGGCAUCCUAUAAUUAUGAAAGCUAUAAGCGCUGUGAGAGAGCUUUGCGUCCCAUUAGCUAGUUGGAGAGGUAACGGCUCACCAAGGUGAUGAUGGGUAGCCGGCCUGAGAGGGUGAUCGGCCACAAGGGGACUGAGACACGGCCCUUACUCCUACGGGAGGCAGCAGUGGGGAAUAUUGGACAAUGGACCAAGAGUCUGAUCCAGCAAUUCUGUGUGCACGAUGAAGUUUUUCGGAAUGUAAAGUGCUUUCAGUUGGGAAGAAAGAAAUGACGGUACCAACAGAAGAAGUGACGGCUAAAUACGUG
rnacentral:rRNA from 1 species